rnacentral:rRNA from 1 species
CCUACGGGGAGCAGCAGUGAGGAAUAUUGGUCAAUGGACGAGAGUCUGAACCAGCCAAGUAGCGUGAAGGAUGACUGCCCUAUGGGUUGUAAACUUCUUUUAUAUGGGAAUAAAAUGUUCCACGUGUGGGAUUUUGUAUGUACCAUAUGAAUAAGGAUCGGCUAACUCCGUGCCAGCAGCCGCGGUAAUACGGAGGGUCCGAGCGUUAUCCGGAUUUAUUGGGUUUAAAGGGAGCGUAGGUGGAUUGUUAAGUCAGUUGUGAAAGUUUGCGGCUCAACCGUAAAAUUGCAGUUGAAACUGGCAGUCUUGAGUACAGGAGAGGUGGGCGGAAUUCGUGGUGUAGCGGUGAAAUGCUUAGAUAUCACGAAGAACUCCGAUUGCGAAGGCAGUUCACUGGACUGCAACUGACACUGAGGCUCGAAAGUGUGGGUAUCAAACAGGAUUAGAUACCCGAGUAGUC